ACUGGCUGCAGCUUGACCCGACCCUUGUCUUGAAUGAAAACAACUCAAGAACACAAGUGGAUUUAGAGGAAAGCUUGAGGUGGAUUCUAUUCCCAAAAUGAAGCUUACAAGCAUAAUCUAGUGGAACUAUGAUGGGUUCUCACUAGCCCAAGUCCUUAGAGAAACUCUAGGACCGAAUACAUAGGGACAAAGCCCUCCCAAGCC
rnacentral:lncRNA from 1 species